GCCCCUCCCAGCCACGCGGGCUCUGUCAGGAACAUGUCAGGAAGCUCUGGAUGGGCAAACAAGGCCAGCUUUGGAAUGAGCACAAUCUCUUUUCUCUGUUGGCAUCUCUAUUCAGCUGCUCCUAUUGGGGAAAAAAACUCUACAUACCUCCGGCGGAAGGGGAAAUGCCUUUUUUAAAAAACCAUGUGCCUACAUUGCACCUUGCAAAUACUCCCACGAAGUAACUCAAGUGCCUGGUCACUUACUUGUAUCGUCUCGUCAGCUUUGUGAGAUCGAACUUACUAUUAAAAAGAUAGGACCAUUUUUAACAACAUAUUUGAAUUGGAUGUCUGCUUACAGCUCUCCAGGAAUAAAGGUACAAUGCAGUAGUUAAAGUUGGAGAAA
ensembl:lncRNA